rnacentral:tRNA from 1 species
GCCGCUAUAGCUCAGUUGGUAGAGCGCGGCACUAGUAAUGCCGAGGUCUACGGUUCGAAGUAUGUAUCGCCCUGAAAUCCGUCUCUCAUUGCAACA